rnacentral:rRNA from 1 species
UACAGAGGUCCCAAGCGUUGUUCGGAUUCACUGGGCGUAAAGGGUGCAUAGGCGGUCGGGUAAGUCAGUGGUGAAAUCUCCGAGCUUAACUCGGAAACUGCCGUUGAUACUAUUUGUCUUGAAUAUUGUGGAGGUAAGCGGAAUAUGUCAUGUAGCGGUGAAAUGCUUAGAUAUGACAUAGAACACCAAUUGCGAAGGCAGCUUACUACACAACGAUUGACGCUGAGGCACGAAAGCGUGGGGAUCAAACAGG